UACGAAGGGGGCUAGCGUUGCUCGGAAUCACUGGGCGUAAAGCGCACGUAGGCGGAUCUUUAAGUCAGGGGUGAAAUCCUGGAGCUCAACUCCAGAACUGCCUUUGAUACUGGGGAUCUCGAGUCCGGGAGAGGUGAGUGGAACUGCGAGUGUAGAGGUGAAAUUCGUAGAUAUUCGCAAGAACACCAGUGACGAAGGCGGCUCACUGGCCCGGUACUGACGCUGAGGUGCGAAAGCGUGGGGAGCAAACAGG
rnacentral:rRNA from 1 species